rnacentral:rRNA from 1 species
AAAACACCUAUCUCUUACUAAAAUUGGUUAAAUCGUUUGUAUACCACUAUAUAAGUAAUAUUUAAUAAUUAUUACUUUAAUUAUAGUUAAAUAUAAAUAAUUUAAGUCAUGGUGCAGCUAAAAUUUUAGGAUGAAGUGAAUUACUUUUUUUUUUAAAAAUAUGUUUUUUUUUAAAAAAAAAAACAAUUAGGAUUUGAAAUUAAAAAUUUAAUAGAAUGAAGUUUUGAAAAAAGCUCUAAAGUAUGUAC